rnacentral:rRNA from 1 species
GUGAGGAAUAUUGGGCAAUGCCCGCAAGGGUGACCCAGCAACGCCGCGUGGAGGAUGAAUGUCGUAAGAUUGUAAACUCCUGUUAGAGGGGAAGAAUAGUACCGGUUGGACCGGUAUAUGACUGUACCCUCAGAGAAAGCCCCGGCUAACUACGUGCCAGCAGCCGCGGUAAUACGUAGGGGGCAAGCGUUGUCCGGAUUUACUGGGUGUAAAGGGCGCGCAGGCGGGAUAAAAAGUCAGUGGUGAAAUCCUACAGCUUAACUGUAGAACUGCCUUUGAUACUUUUAUUCUUGAGUUCGGGAGAGAGAGACGGAAUUCCAGGUGUAGUGGUGAAAUACGUAGAUAUCUGGAAGAACACCAGUUGCGAAGGCGGUCUCUUGGUCCGACACUGACGCUGAGGCGCGAAAGCGUGGGGAGCAAACA